UACAGAGGUCUCAAGCGUUGUUCGGAUUCAUUGGGCGUAAAGGGUGCGUAGGCGGCGCGGUAAGUCGGGUGUGAAAUCUCGGGGCUUAACUCCGAAACUGCAUUCGAUACUGCCGUGCUUGAGGACUGGAGAGGAGACUGGAAUUUACGGUGUAGCGGUGAAAUGCGUAGAUAUCGUAAGGAAGACCAGUGGCGAAGGCGGGUCUCUGGACAGUUCCUGACGCUGAGUCACGAAGGUCAGGGGAGCAAACGGG
rnacentral:rRNA from 1 species